AGGGUUCGAUUCUGGCUCAGAACGAACGCUGGCGGCAGGCCUAACACAUGCAAGUCGAGCGCGCCCUUCGGGGUGAGCGGCGGACGGGUUAGUAACGCGUGGGAACGUACCCUUUGGUAGGGAAUAGCCACUGGAAACGGUGAGUAAUACCCUAUGAGCCCUUCGGGGGAAAGAUUUAUCGCCAAAGGAUCGGCCCGCGUUAGAUUAGGUAGUUGGUGGGGUAAUGGCCUACCAAGCCUACGAUCUAUAGCUGGUUUUAGAGGAUGAUCAGCAACACUGGGACUGAGACACGGCCCAGACUCCUACGGGAGGCAGCAGUGGGGAAUCUUGGACAAUGGGGGCAACCCUGAUCCCAGCCAUGCCGCGUGAGUGAAGAAGGCCUUAGGGUCGUAAAGCUCUUUCGCCUGUGAAGAUAAUGACGGUAGCAGGUAAAGAAACCCCGGCUAACUCCGUGCCAGCCGCUGC
rnacentral:rRNA from 1 species